rnacentral:rRNA from 1 species
AUUGAACGCUGGCGGCAGGCCUAACACAUGCAAGUCGAGCGGAGCUGCGGACGGGCGUGUAAUGCCUAGGAAUCUGCCUGGUAGUGGGGGAUAACGUCCGGAAACGGGCGCUAAUACCGCAUACUAUCAGAUGAGCCUAGGUCGGAUUAGCUAGUGGGUUGGGUGAAGGCCUACCAAGGCGACGAUCCGGAACUGGUUUGAGCGGAUGAUCAGUCAAACGGGGACAUGGACACGGUCCAGACUCCUACGAGGGGCAGCGGUGGGGAAGAUUGGACAAUGGGAGAAAGCCUGAUCCAGCCAUGCCGCGUGUGGGAGGAGGGUCUUCGGAUUGUAAAGCACUAUAAGUUGGGAGGCGUUACCAACAGAAUAAGCACCGGCUAACUUCGUGCCAGCAGCCGCGGUAAUAC